ACAGAAUAACAUUGCAUAUCUUACUCGGAUUGAACUCACAAUUAAAAGUAACUUCCAGCCAGCAGUCUUUCCCCAAGCGAGAUGGAGCUUACAAUCAUUUUCCUUGGUCCUAUGCUGACCCAUCCAUCUUGAACAAAAGGAAAAUCCAAAUGUAGAAGAAUGGUUUCACACAACAAAUAGACACAAGUUUCUUUUUCUUUUUCUUCUGAAAAGUUCAGGUUACACAAAUACAGCCUCCGGAAAAACCUCUGGUUAUACACAAGCGGAUACAAGUGGACACAAGCAUCCGUACCCUCUAAAACACUACAAUAGAGUGAGAAACAAAUAGUACAUGACACACUUAUCACAUGAUGGUGCAGCGGCUCUUUUCUUCGGCUGGCUGAGGGGCAACUUGCUGAAACCUGUGAGACUCAGAUGGGUUGUAUGUGAACUCUGAAGUAUCCAGCCCAUACUUUUCCCUCAUUCGUGUACUCCAAGCAUCAUUUCGACUUGGUCGUUGAUCAAGUGUCCCAGCCACAGGCACACCUGUUGCAGGAGCAGCAGGCCUAUUGAUCAAUGGUUGUCUGAUUUGUUGCCUUGGAGCAAUGUACUCAUCAUCGCUGUCAUAGUCUGCAGGUCUGUUUGCUGCACGAACCACAAGAGCCAACAAGAAAAGGAGGGCCUCAAAAAUUACAGCUCCCAAUGCAACCCAUCUGAUGAUUUCCCACUUGUCUUCAAGGAGUUCAUAGAUCUUAUCAAAGUUUCCUGUUUUGUCCCCAGGAAUUUCAUCUCUCCAAGUUUUGUCAAAGAAUAUGAAGGCAGCACAUCCUAGUUGCACCAAAAUCAGUAGAAGCAGCAAAACUGAAUAACAACUUAAACAGCAUCCAUUACGUGUUGCAGCUCCAAUACACCCAAAACAAGAGACAACAAAGAUAAUGACUCCCACAGCAAUGAACAAGUAUAUGAACCAGGCUUUUGGAAGGUUAUCAAAGAUAUUAGAAGACAGAGACACGGCCAUUAGCAUUGGUCGACCAAGCUGGACCAGAUCAUGAUCACCACUCGACGAAGGUCCUGGGACAUCACUAGGAGAUUGCAAAUACUCAACCAACAAGUAAAUCCCAUAGCCCACCAUGGCAAGACCCAGCAGGGAUAAGAAGAAGUUCAGAAGCUUCAAUAGGCACUCAAAGCACCCUCUGCAGGCCAUCCUCUAUAUACUUCCGAUCCAAAUUCAGGGAGGAUGAUUAUCGGAUUGCUCGAUUUCCCGAACCUUG
rnacentral:misc_RNA from 1 species